GAAAUGCGAUAAUUAAUGUGAAUUGCAGAAUUCAGUGAAUCAUCGAGUCUUUGAACGCACAUUGCGCCCCCUGGUAUUCCGGGGGGCAUGCCUGUCCGAGCGUCAUUGCUGCCCUCAAGCACGGCUUGUGUGUUGGGCUUCCGUCCCUGGCAACGGGGACGGGCCCAAAAGGCAGUGGCGGCACCAUGUCUGGUCCUCGAGCGUAUGGGGCUUUGUCACCCGCUCCCGUAGGUCCAGCUGGCAGCUAGCCUCGCAACCAAUCUUUUUAACCAGGUUGACCUCGGAUCAGGUAGGGAUACCCGCUUAACUUAAGC
rnacentral:misc_RNA from 1 species